UCCGAGUUGACCCCGGCAGUCUUCGAUGAGUCCCCGCCAUCACGCGCUGGCAACAUCGAACGAGGGUUGCGCUCGUUGCGGGACUUAACCCAACAUCUCACGACACGAGCUGACGACAGCCAUGCAGCACCUGUCUCUCGGCUCCCGAAGGCACUCCCGCAUCUCUGCAGGAUUCCAUGGAUGUCAAGGGUAGGUAAGGUUCUUCGCGUUGCAUCGAAUUAAACCACAUGCUCCACCGCUUGUGCGGGCCCCCGUCAAUUCCUUUGAGUUUCAGUCUUGCGACCGUACUCCCCAGGCGGAGUGCUUAAUGUGUUGACGUCGGCACAGCAGGGGUCGAUACCCGCUACACCAAGCACUCAUCGUUUACGGCGUGGACUAC
rnacentral:misc_RNA from 1 species